GAUUUGAUACAAACACACAAUUCUGCAAUAAGAACAGGGGAAUACAAAAACAAUAGUCAAUAUAAAUUGCUUUCCUAUCCUAAUCAAAUUUCUAACAUUCACCAUAAGAAAUUUCUAAUAAGGCAUUUUCAGACAUACGAAGUCAAUUAUAUUACAUGACAUUGUUGGUACUAAUCAGAAUUACUAAUCUAAACAAUUCAGAUCUUAAGAAGUAAAACUCCUAACUGGGGAAGAACAAUUAGCUAAAACCCUGAAUUCCACAAAACAAAAUCAACACCAAGAAAUGAAGAAUUGAUCUAAACCCUACAUUAGAAAGAACCCAAUAUUGAAUUAUACAGAUAUAUAUAAGAAAAAAAAAAGUUGGUCCAAAGAUACCAAAUUGAAGAUCAAUAACAUGAC